GAGUAACACGUCGAGUAACCUCGCUCCCCUUCUUCUGGAUAACCGCAUGAAAGUCGUCGGCUAAUACGGGAUAUUCUGUGCCUCGCUGCAUGGUGGGUGUGGGAAAAGAAUGCGCCUUUGGGUCGUUUUUGGUGGGGGAUGGGCUCGCGGCCUAUCAGCUUGUUGGUGGGGUGAUGGCCUACCAAGGCGGUGACGGGUAGCCGGCCUGAGAGGGUGGACGGUCACACUGGGACUGAGACACGGCCCAGACUCCUACGGGAGGCAGCAGUGGGGAAUAUUGCACAAUGGGCGCAAGCCUGAUGCAGCGACGCCGCGUGAGGGAUGGAGGCCUUCGGGUUGUAAACCUCUUUCGCCAGUGAAGCAGGCCUGUCCCUUGUGGUUGGGUUGACGGUAGCUGGAUAAGAAGCGCCGGCUAACUACGUGCCAGCAGCCGCGGUAAUACGUAGGGCGCGAGCGUUGUCCGGAAUUAUUGGGCGUAAAGAGCUCGUAGGCGGCUGGUCGCGUCUGUCGUGAAAUCCUCUGGCUUAACUGGGGGCUUGCGGUGGGUACGGGCCGGCUUGAGUGCGGUAGGGGAGACUGGAACUCCUGGUGUAGCGGUGGAAUGCGCAGAUAUCAGGAAGAACACCGGUGGCGAAGGCGGGUCUCUGGGCCGUUACUGACGCUGAGGAGCGAAAGCGUGGGGAGCGAACAGGAUUAGAUACCCUGGUAGUCCACGCCGUAAACGUUGGGCACUAGGUGUGGGGGGCCUUUUCCGGGUCUUCCGCGCCGUAGCUAACGCAUUAAGUGCCCCGCCUGGGGAGUACGGCCGCAAGGCUAAAACUCAAAGGAAUUGACGGGGGCCCGCACAAGCGGCGGAGCAUGCGGAUUAAUUCGAUGCAACGCGAAGAACCUUACCAAGGCUUGACAUGUGCCGGUCGGCUCCGGAGACGGGGUUUCCUCCUUGUGGGGCCGGUUCACAGGUGGUGCAUGGUUGUCGUCAGCUCGUGUCGUGAGAUGUUGGGUUAAGUCCCGCAACGAGCGCAACCCUUGUCCCGUGUUGCCAGCACGUUGUGGUGGGGACUCGCGGGAGACUGCCGGGGUCAACUCGGAGGAAGGUGGGGAUGACGUCAAAUCAUCAUGCCCCUUAUGUCUUGGGCUUCACGCAUGCUACAAUGGCCGGUACAGAGGGCUGCGAUACCGUGAGGUGGAGCGAAUCCCUUAAAGCCGGUCUCAGUUCGGAUCGGUGUCUGCAACUCGACACCGUGAAGUUGGAGUCGCUAGUAAUCGCAGAUCAGCAACGCUGCGGUGAAUACGUUCUCGGGCCUUGUACACACCGCCCGUC
rnacentral:rRNA from 1 species